CACUUUCGCUCGGGAGCGAGCCAGGGAGGCUGCGGAGGGACUCCGCGCUGCGCAGGCCGCGGCCGGCGCGACGCCUCCUCCUCCGGCGCGCUCACAGGCCCGGCCGCCCCCGCACGGCCCCCAGCUGCGAGGCCCCGGGCAGGAAGCGACGGCGCCAGGCCGCGGAAGCACCGGGCCGCGGGGCCGGGCCAGGCGAGCGCGGCCCUCGGCGGCGGCUGCCUGUGCCGCGGGCACGUGUCGCCCGCCGCGCACGGAGCGGCCGCUCCCUCCGCGUUUGAUCAGUUGAGAAACACGAGAGUUGCAGCCCGUUACUGGAAGGAGGACACUAGAUGGAGCCAUGUACUCCGCAGACGUGGGGUACUGGAUGUAUCCAGAAGGUGCUGAAAGCUGGCUUGCAGACGUUUUGGGAAGUUGGACUUACCCAAAAGUGAAAAUUGAAAUAUUUUACUACAGUACUUGCAUCAGCAGAGUUAAAGUGCCAACUGCGAUACUCAAGGAUCCAGCCUACUAAAUCUGUACAUUCUAGUAGACUUUUAGGAACAAGAAAAAAAUACUAAUUCAUGCAAGACCAACUGCAGACUGACUGCUGAAUAGGCGCUUAUAAAAUUUUAAGGACCUUAGCGAUGUCUCAUGAUGUGACCUGUGCACCCUAUGUUCUCAUUGUCAUUGCUGAGUGCUGCUCCUUCGGUAUUUUUAAAAGAGAAAAACCUUAACCAAAGAAUGGAGUAAGGAAACGGAAA